GCUGGGCAUGGUGGCGCAUGCCUGUAAUACCAGCUACUCAGGAGGCUGAGGCAGGAGAAUCACUUGAACCCAGGAGGUGGAGGCUGCAGUGAGCUGAGAUCAAGCUGCUGCACUCCAUCCUGGGUGACAGAGUGAGACCUUGUCUCAA
rfam:Homo sapiens chromosome 13, GRCh38 reference primary assembly.